rnacentral:other from 1 species
AUUUCCCUGCGGUGUCCGUAUCGAUUGGAUCAUUUUUGAGCCAACACCUGUUCACUUAGGGCCUAAACCUUCGGGCGCGGUGUGCAUGCCUCCCUUAAUUGGGGGGAAGCCUUAACCGUCUGAGGCGGCACCAUUUUUUGAAUAGGUUCAAAGUGUCCUUUCGACCGGCACAGGCGGGGAAUUU